rnacentral:rRNA from 1 species
CACUUCUAAGGAAGGCAGCAGGCGCGCAAAUUACCCAAUCCUGACUCAGGGAGGUAGUGACAAGAAAUAACAAUAAACCGGCUUAUGCCGGUUUAAUUGGAAUGAGUACAAUUUAAACAUCUUAACGAGGAACAAUUGGAGGGCAAGUCUGGUGCCAGCAGCCGCGGUAAUUCCAGCUCCAAUAGCGUAUACUAAAGUUGUUGCAGUUAAAAAGCUCGUAGUUGGAUUUCUGUGGGGACGGAGCGGCCGGCCGCAACUCGCGGUUCGAGCUAGCGCUUUCCCUACAUCCUGCCGCGAACCGUGCUACCAUUAGUUUGGUGGCGCCGGGGAUCGGCUCGAUUACUUUGAGAAAAAUAGAGUGUUCAAAGCAGGCCACAUGCCUUGAAUAAGUUAGCAUGGAAUAAUAACUAAGGACUUCGGUUCUAUUUUGUUGGUGUUCGGGACUGAAGUAAUGAUUGAUAGGGACAGUUGGGGCGGUCUGUAUUCCAAAGCGAGAGGUGAAAUUCUUAGACCUUCGGAAGACAAACAGCUGCGAAAGCGUUCCGCAAGGAUGUUCCCUUUGAUCAAGAACGAAAGUUGGGGGAUCGAAGACGAUCAGAUACCGUCGUAGUCUCAACUAUAAACUAUACCAGCUAGGGAGCGGCCAACGUUAUUUUAUACCGACUUGGUCGGCACCUUAUGAGAAAUCAAAGCAUCUGGGUUCCGGGGGGAGUAUGGUCGCAAGGCUGAAACUUAAAGGAAUUGACGGAAGGGCACCACCAGCCGUGGAGCCUGUGGCUUAAUUUGACUCAACACGGGAAAACUUACCAGGUCCAGACAUAGUAAGGAUUGACAGAUUGAUAGCUCUUUCUUGAUUCUGUGGGUGGUGGUGCAUGGCCGUUCUUAGUUGGUGGAGUGAUUUGUCUGGUUAAUUCCGUUAACGAACGAGACCCCAGCCUGCUAAAUAGCGCGCGUGAGCUUUGCUCGCGGCGAGCUUCUUAGAGGGACUAUGAUGCGCGAUAGCACAUGGAAGUUUGGGGCAAUAACAGGUCUGUGAUGCCCUUAGAUGUUCUGGGCCGCACACGGGCUACACUGGCGCCUGCAACGAGCAUAUCAGCUGGUCCGAGAGGGUCUUGGCUAAUCUUUUGAACCGGCGCCGUGCUUGGGAUUGACCUUUGCAAUUGUUGGUCAUGCAACGAGGAAUGCCUUGUAAACGCGAGUCAUCAGCUCGCAUUGAAUACGUCCCUGCCCUUUGUACACACCGCCCGUCGCUCCUACCGAUGAAUGUUCCGAUGAAAUUUUCGGAGAGCACCUGUGAACUUGGCUCUGCCUCGCGAACGGGAAGCUCAAAGUCACUUAAAUCUGAACAUUU